rnacentral:misc_RNA from 1 species
GUGCCCUCGUUGUUGUUUCCACUCCGGUACGCUCGCACGCACCCAGGCUGGCACUCGUAUCGCACGUCUCGACAGGGUACCCACCACAGUCGCUUCUGCGGCCCCACCCUACCGUUCUCGCGUGGCCGUGAACGCCUUCGCUUUCACUCAACCCCCACCCCCACAACCGUCGUUUCAGUGCAACCAUGACAACUUCCUCCGCCGAGGAGGUCCGGGUGCGGCAGUCCAUUGUGAACUGUGCAGUCGAUCACUACGAGCUGUUGACCAACGCGCAGGCCGCAAACGUGGCGGCCGCGUCGCUCUCCAGCAAUGCCGAAGACACCGCUAAAGAGCUGACAGCAUCCUUGCAAACACUGCACUCCUGGUCGCAGCUUCUCCAGUAUGCGGGGCAGUCGUGGCGGCAAGAGAAAGCGCAGCUGCACAGCGCGGUCAUGAGUCACCAGAAAAUCGUGGCUCUCAUGGAGUCGCCUGCCUUAGUGGAGGAGUGCGUGCGGCAGACAAUGUUCCACGAGGCGCUCCUCAUAUUCGACCACGUCAUGAUGCUGUGUCAGCACAUGAGCGACGUGUACGUUUUUCAGAGAUUGCAGAAGGAAGUGGUGGACACAAUGGAGCAGGCGGUGAACGCGCAUGUGCUGCCGAUGCUGUCGGGUGGGCUCACGGUGGACACGGCGUACAAAGCCAUCUCCCUCCUUCGUCGCCUUGGCGGCUCCCCGGCGUCGUUGCGUGCACUCUUCCUGCGCAGCCGCGCUGCGUACAUUCGUCAGCUGCUGCAGGAAGCUGAAUCCAGCGUGGUGCCCUACUCUCUCAUCCUCAAGUACAUCACGGUGUACAAGGUGCACGUGAACGAGGUGACGCUGCAGUACAAGGCGUGCUUCCCGUCCAGCACCGAGGCCCAGCAACGGCAAGCGACGGAGGAGCUGAGCCUGUGGUGUCAGGAGCAGGCGCACAUGUUCAUGCACCUCAUGGCGGCGGCGCUCCAGCACCUUCACAACGGCUCUGAACUGGCGCUCGUGGUGCAGCAGUGCAGCAGCUGCUCGAGUGCCAGUGCGCGGGUGCACACAGACGUGCUUGGGCUCCUGGGCAGCAUACUUGUCCAGAAGGUGCAGGGACUCUUCGCUGAAGGCAUGCGGCAGGCCCGGAUCACCUAUCGCACCGCCAUGCAGACCUCCUCGUGGCGUGUUUCUGUGUACUGUCACAACAACUCGACGCUGACGUCGUCUACGGGGAUCCAGGCCCCUCCGACUAUUAGCGACACGCCAGCCGUGCAGCUAGCUCAGUGGCUGCCGCUCGCGUACGCGCUCAACGGGAUGCUCGCCUCCUUCAACGCCAUCCGCAAGUGUCUGUUACCAGGGGUUGAGGCACCGUGUGGGGAGGAAGUGCGACAGCUGGUGUGCGAGGUGGGACAGGACAUGCUGAAUGACGCGCCUCUGCUCGACACAAUGUACAGCGCUGAACGGGCAGUGUUUGUGACCUUUGUGAAGGCGUUUCAACGGCUGUGGUAUCCAUAUGUACUGCACCUGGUCGGCCGCCUUCUCGGACCUGCGCACCGCGAGGACUUGGAGGACCGCACGCAGGCUCUAAUGUAUGGCAUUGGAGAGCUUCUGUUUGCGGUAGAGUCGCCGUCGACGGUGCCGGCUGCAGAAGGUGCGAGCUCCGUGGCGCCGGCACACCCACAUGCAUCGACGAUACUUGCUACACCGACACCAGACUUCACCACCGCUCCAACUGCGGCGCCUUCGGUGCCGCCAGCGUCAACGAACUCUGCACCGACCUAGUGAAACAACGCCGCACUUGUGGUGCACCUCUUCGACUUCAACCAGCAUAGGGAGAUGAUCCGGCGGCUACAUCGGGAGCCGCUUGUGGGCACUGUGAAGGGCGGGAGCGAGAGGGGCGUGGGUGCGCCAGGGAAUCCGUAAGAGAAGAAUUGCGGUGGUGGCGUGGGAGCCUGCAGGGUAGGUGCGUGCUACGAAAGCAACAGCAAUGAUAGCGCCAGUGGUGGCGGUCGCUUAAUCUUCUCUUGCCACGUCGGUGCUGGGCUGCUCGGCCGCAGGCCCCUUCCGCUUGACCCUCCCGCCACACAGGCUUAUAGCGGCGUCCAACCUGUCGAGAGAUGUGCGGACACAACAUCCAGACAGCCCCCCCCCCCUUUGUGACAUGGACGGAAAUGGAGGAUGAAGACAGAAGCCCCCCUUUCCUCAGACUCCGAAGUCGUUCUGAAGCAGGCCCCGGGAUGCAAAAAUGCAAGCACUGUGCGCAGGCGCUGUGAAGCACAACUGGCGUGGUGAAUCGCAUCCAAGCAAGGCACUCAGAGGUCCAAAGAGCAGGAGUGGUGGACGAACAAGGCGCGAGGAGACCCAAUAUACGGAUCAGCCCCCAAGCGCAUGUGUGCGGAGCGUGCUGCAUCUGCUGCAUUCAACCUGGAGGGCUCAUGAGGCACAGACGCCGGAAGCAUGACGAGAGUGCCCUCGAGUUCCACCAUCAAGCCCUCCCGACUCUCCUGUUGCGAGUCACCACACCGUAUUAACGGGAUGCGGCGGCUUUAGGCGACUGAGAGAGCGAAGCACGGCACACGGGCAGGGUGCGCAGGGUCUCCGAGGGAUAUGGCCUGCAGCUGGCCAACUUCCUCCCUGCGCGCAUCCGGCAUGCACCGAGAGACCACCACCCCACUGCUACUCCGCACGACAGACGCCACUGCUUCCGCCCUUGAACAGGACCCUGCACGCGGCCCGAUUCGAAUGAAGGCAUGCCGUACACCGGAGCCUCCGUGUGGCGCCGAUCGCGCAGCACACGUGCGAUGAAUGGACAAGGACGGACACGAUGAGUCCGGCCGACGCAUGGCGCUGAUUCUACAGCAAGACGGUGCAUCCUAGGCGACCACGAUUUAGCCGCGGUGCAGCAGAAGCUGGUGGUGUGUGGUGGUGUGCGCGCAUGUGUGUAUGUCGGUUGACUGACCUGCUGGUGGUCGGAUGGGCACAUCGGAGAAGAAAAAAAUGAGGGUGCCCACGGGAGGCAUGCGUCCCGCUGGCGUUAUCGAGUGGGAAGGACGCGGUGUGUGUCUGUGCGCGCGCGCUCGUGUUUUUGCUUCUCUUGCGCGUCUCUCUGUGUGUGUUGCUUCGCUGAGGCGCGGCACUGGACCCGCUCGAGUACAGCGAGAAGGGGAGCAAAGCGAGCGUCGUAUCUGCGGCAGACGAUG